CAGUAGCGUAUAUUAAAGUUGUUGCAGUUAAAAUGCUCGUAGUUGAAGUUCGGAUGCAGCAGAGCUUGGAAACGCUGUUAUGGUGCUUCCGUUGCUUUUGCUUGUCCACAGUGCGUUGCAAGUACGUAUGUGCUUGUGCGUGCAUUUUACUUUGAGAAACAUAGGGUGUUCCACGCAUGUUACGGCAUGAAUAUUCCAGCAUGGGAUAAUCUGGUACGACUUCCAAUCUGCCAUUUUGGUUCGUAGGUUGGAAGUAAUGAUUAAUAGGGACUGUCGGGGGCAUUGGUAUUUGACUGUCAGAGGUGAAAUUCUUAGAUUCGUUGAGGACCAACCACUGCGAAAACAUUUGUCAAGGAUGUCUCCAUUA
rnacentral:rRNA from 1 species